rnacentral:rRNA from 1 species
UAGGGAAUCUUCGGCCAUGGACGAAAGUCUGACCGAGCAACGCCGCGUGAGUGAAGAAGGUUUUCGGAUCGUAAAACUCUGUUGUUAGAGAAGAACAAGGACGUUAGUAACUGAACGUCCCCUGACGGUAUCUAACCAGAAAGCCACGGCUAACUACGUGCCAGCAGCCGCGGUAAUACGUAGGUGGCAAGCGUUGUCCGGAUUUAUUGGGCGUAAAGCGAGCGCAGGCGGUUUCUUAAGUCUGAUGUGAAAGCCCCCGGCUCAACCGGGGAGGGUGAUUGGAAACUGGGAGACUUGAGUGCAGAAGAGGAGAGUGGAAUUCCAGGUGUAGCGGUGAAAUGCGUAGAUAUAUGGAGGAACACCAGUGGCGAAGGCGGCUCUCUGGUCUGUAACUGACGCUGAGGCUCGAAAGCGUGGGGAGCAAACAGG